rnacentral:lncRNA from 1 species
CCAGCAAAUUUCGAAAGUCUCGAGAUUCGGGACUAGUUUCGAAAAAUGGAGGAAUUGGAUCCUGGAUCGAGACCCUUCCUCUUUGUGAUGAGAUUUUGAUGGUGCAUCGAGAGCUUUUCCCACCGUGCGACAGGUAGCGCUGCCGGGUGCCAGAAGCAGGAGGCCAGGCAAGACCUGGAGCUGCCAAGCGCAAGCACCCGGAGAAGACUUUACUAUAAAAGUAUUACACAACCGCAGCGUUGCUCCUCAGAUCAAUUACAACAGCCAUCAGUUGGAUCCGUCGUUUGACUGUUGACUGUCGCGUCGAGCGCAUUGCUAUCCCGUCACCGUUCCCGCGUUUGCGAUCACACGUGUGUCCACCUCAGAUGCGUCCGCGCGUGCGUGUCCGAACCCAACGCGGCUCCGCGAGUUACUUGUGCCGUUGACCAAUCAUCAUUCAUUCAUGUGACAUUUUUUCCCACGGAUUAUCAACAUGAUUCCUAUACGCGUGGAGGUGCUCCUUGUGUGGGUGUUAGUGGGGGAGAGGACGAGUUGGGCCGACGACAAGUGGGUAUGGGGCGAGAAGAGCUCGAGCCGCGGCCGAUCCGGUGAAUCCGGUCAAAGGGAUCAUGAGCAAGUCUCGAGAGAGAGCCUCGAGUACGAUCGGAAACUCCAAGGGAUCUACAGCCACGAACGACCCGCCUACAACGACAACGUUUCCAAGCAAACCGUCGACAUCCUUUCCAAAACCCGACCCGAAUCCGACUACCGAUACGAGGUGUACAGAACAGUGGAUUGGCAGACACGAGACCACCGCCCUACCGACCGGUAGCGUUCGGCUCGCCUAACCGACCGGUCGUUCCGCUACCCUCGUCAAAUCGGCCGGGGUGCCCCUACCUCGCCGAACCGGCCGGUGGCGGCGUUGCUUUGCCGAGUCGCCCAGUUCCAGCGGCGUCCAUCUUCGCCCUACCCGCGAGGCCGGUUCCCGUCGUGAGCAGACCGAGCGCGCUGCCCAUCACGCUGCCCUCCCCGGCCGGCUCCAGGCCCAACCCCAACUUUGCUGGACCCCAGGGUGCCGCCUCAUCGGUGGGAAUUCUCACGGGUCCCGUGCCCUCCUGGGAGAACGCCCAGAGCACUCAUAAGAACGGUGACCCCACCCAGUUCGAACGCUGCAAGUGCUCCUUCUCCUUCAACUGCAAAGCGCCUGGAAUUCAGUUUGGCAAUUGCGAUGUAGGGAAACAAUACUGUUGCUACAACUCAAAAGGCGGUGGCUCAAGCACGCAUGCCGGAUUUGGGUCUCAUCUAGACGUGGACCGAACCGAUGGGAGCAACGGGCAGUUACCGGCCCAUCCUCGCUGGUCCGGGAGGGCCUGUCGAUAACUACAACUUGGACGGUCCAGGUCCUGACGGCCUCUGUAGAU